rnacentral:rRNA from 1 species
UACGAAAGGUGCAAGCGUUACUCGGAACCACUGGGCGUAAAGCGCACGUAGGCGGACUCGCAGGUCAAUUGUGAAAUACCUGGGCUCAACCCGGGAACUGCAGUUGAAACCGCUUGUCUUGAAUACCUGAGAGGGUGGGGGAAUACCUGGUGGAGAAGUGAAAUUCGUAGAGAUCAGGUGGAACACCGGAGGCGAAGGCGCCUGCCUGGCAGUGUAUUGACGCUGAGGUGCGAAAGUGCGGGGAGCAAACAGG